ACGCCGCGUGAGGGAUGAAGGCCUCUGGGCUGUAAACCUCUUUUAUCAAGGAAGAAGAUCUGACGGUACUUGAUGAAUAAGCCACGGCUAAUUCCGUGCCAGCAGCCGCGGUAAUACGGGAGUGGCAAGCGUUAUCCGGAAUUAUUGGGCGUAAAGCGUCCGCAGGCGGCCCUUCAAGUCUGCUGUUAAAAAGUGGAGCUUAACUCCAUCAUGGCAGUGGAAACUGUUGGGCUUGAGUGUGGUAGGGGCAGAGGGAAUUCCCGGUGUAGCGGUGAAAUGCGUAGAUAUCGGGAAGAACACCAGUGGCGAAGGCGCUCUGCUGGGCCAUCACUGACGCUCAUGGACGAAAGCCAGGGGAGCGAAAGGGAUUAGAUACCCCUGUAGUCCUGGCCGUAAACGAUGAACACUAGGUGUCGGGGGAAUCGACCCCCUCGGUGUCGUAGCCAACGCGUUAAGUGUUCCGCCUGGGGAGUACGCACGCAAGUGUGAAACUCAAAGGAAUUGACGGGGGCCCGCACAAGCGGUGGAGUAUGUGGUUUAAUUCGACGCAACGCGAAGAACCUUACCAGGGUUUGACAUCCUGCGAAUCUCUUGGAAACGAGAGAGUGCCUUCGGGAGCGCAGUGACAGGUGGUGCAUGGCUGUCGUCAGCUCGUGUCGUGAGAUGUUGGGUUAAGUCCCGCAACGAGCGCAACCCACGUCUUUAGUUGCCAGCAUUUAGUUGGGCACUCUAGAGAGACCGCCGGUGAUAAACCGGAGGAAGGUGUGGAUGACGUCAAGUCAUCAUGCCCCUUACAUCCUGGGCUACACACGUACUACAAUGCUACGGACAAAGGGCAGCAAGUUCGCGAGGACAAGCAAAUCCCAUAAACCGUGGCUCAGUUCAGAUCGUAGGCUGCA
rnacentral:rRNA from 1 species